AACCAUAGAAACCUGCGGAGUACCUGCGGAAGGAUCAUUACCGAGUUUACAACUCCCAAACCCCUGUGAACAUACCUAUACGUUGCCUCGGCGGAUCAGCCCGCGCCCCGUAAAACGGGACGGCCCGCCCGAGGACCCUAAACUCUGUUUUUAGUGGAACUUCUGAGUAAAACAAACAAAUAAAUCAAAACUUUCAACAAUGGAUCU
rnacentral:misc_RNA from 1 species